UACGUCUCCGUCUCCGUCUCCGUCUUCGUCGUCGCCGUCGUGGAUCUCGUGUUCGGCUUUCCACCUCCUCCUGCAAAGAUUUUCUCUCACACUUGAAAAGUGAUUAAAGACCGCGCGUAACCACCCUUUCGCACGUUCCCUUGGCCUUCUUUUCUUUUAACGUCACAUAUUAACGCACCGAUAGAACAUUUGAAGAUUUUCUCGAAGCGGUUAUAACUUAUGGAAAAUGGGGAAAUAAAGAAGGAAAGAAAGAGAGCAGCGCCCGUCGUUUCUUCUUAACAAACUACACAACUACACUUUCGAACUGCCACCUAGUAGGUGGGGAUUGCGGGAGACCCGUCGGCCAAUCACAAAUAUUAAGUAAGCGAACUGAUAGCCUCACGACCUUACAGUCCUCGCGCGGUCUUGGAUAACGUGCGACUAGAAGCAUUCGGUCGAUUUCCUUCUUGAUUCACACUGCACUCUUAGCGCCACCUAGUAGCUCUUUUCAAUUCGACCAAUCAGCGAAUAGCGAGCAACCUUAGCGACUUAGUAAACUUAGGGAAUUUCUUUAGGAAAUUAUAGUAUCUUUAAGUUUCCAGUCUACUUAAAGUUAACCUUUAAUCAAUGUAUGUUCACUUAACUUGUAUUUCUUUCCUCGGAGAAGAUUUUUCAUUCGUUUUAUCGAGUUCUUUUUUAAACUGACAAUGUCUCUGCUACUCAAAAUUGCACCAAUACUUUGGAUAAAUUAUGCGAUAUGCAUUUUGUCGAAAGGUUACCAAAGUAAUUAUGAUAAAGAAAGAUGGGAAGCUUUUGAAAGGGCAAGAAGAAAUGCUUCCUCACAAUAGUAUAAAAAAAUUUAUAGACAAGAUGUUAUUUAUAAUUAAUAUUUGAUACUACAAUUCGUAUACUUUUCUAGAACUAUCUCUAGAACACUUAUACGAAUUAUAUAGAAGUGUAAUGAGUUAAUAAAGAAGAUUCAAGUAGUUUA